rnacentral:misc_RNA from 1 species
UGUGGCCCUCGGCAUCAAUUUCAGAAAAAUUUGGGAGAAGAAACUGGCAAAACAGCAUCAGGAAGAGAAUAGAAUGAAGGGAAAAUUUUCCUUUUUGAAUUUAUCAAGUUUAAUUUCUUUUUUUGAUUCACAAACAAAAGGUUUACCAGCAAAAUUGAUAUUUAUUUUUUCUAUCUCUAGAUGUAGACAGUGUGUAGCCAAAAAGUGUUUUUUG